GCGCUUCUGACGGAACUGGCAUACGUACCUGGCUUAGACCCAGGUUUUUCGGGGUUCGACUCCCCGGGAGCGCACCA
rnacentral:tRNA from 1 species